rfam:Mollicutes bacterium HR2 KQ78_contig000021, whole genome shotgun sequence.
AACUGAUAAAGGCAAGCAUAAGGAAACUUAUGUACGCAAAGCUUUAGGGCCUGUAAAAUGGUAGCCAGCUGUCAAA